ensembl:lncRNA
GCCCACAACCUGACUAAACCACAGAGGACCUUUGAUAGUUUGUGUUUGCAUGUGGUUUAUAUAGGAGUCGUAUGUAUAUUAUUUUUUGGAAUGUUACAACAAUACUCAAGGUUGCAUAAAAUGUCUAUCUGGCACUUGACUGAUGAAGCAAUUCAGUUUUUCUUCUCUUUGAUCACCUUUUGUAUUGUUGUACCUCACAAUAAGUCAUACUUGUGGUGAAAUGAUUGCAAUAUGUUUUAGUGCUGUGUGGGAAUAUCCAUUCUAGUUCUAACAUAUUAUGGAAGGCAAUAGUGAUUUUACAUCCAGCCUGAAACACAGGCACAUGAGGGCUUAGUUUAGUAUUUUACACAUAACAAUGCUCACUCUUCAGGUGCAACCUGUAACGUUUACAUACAACACCAUUAACACAGACAGUGAAGCUUCUCAUGAAGGGAGGUUUCACCUGAGGCCUCUGGAGUCUUUGUCCACAG